rnacentral:rRNA from 1 species
AGAGUUUGAUCCUGGCUCAGGAUGAACGCUGGCGGCGUGCCUAACACAUGCAAGUCGAACGAAGCAAUCUUAAUGAAGUUUUCGGAUGGAUUUAAGAUUGACUUAGUGGCGGACGGGUGAGUAACGCGUGGGUAACCUGCCUUGUACAGGGGGAUAACAGUUAGAAAUGACUGCUAAUACCGCAUAACCCGCUAAGGUCGCAUGACCUGGACGGAAAAGAUUUAUCGGUACAAGAUGGACCCGCGUCUGAUUAGCUAGUUGGUGAGGUAACGGCCCACCAAGGCGACGAUCAGUAGCCGGCCUGAGAGGGUGAACGGCCACAUUGGGACUGAGACACGGCCCAAACUCCUACGGGAGGCAGCAGUGGGGAAUAUUGCACAAUGGGGGAAACCCUGAUGCAGCAACGCCGCGUGAGUGAAGAAGUAUUUCGGUAUGUAAAGCUCUAUCAGCAGGGAAGAAAAUGACGGUACCUGACUAAGAAGCCCCGGCUAACUACGUGCCAGCAGCCGCGGUAAUACGUAGGGGGCAAGCGUUAUCCGGAUUUACUGGGUGUAAAGGGAGCGUAGACGGUUGUGCAAGUCUGAAGUGAAAGCCCGGGGCUCAACCCCGGGACUGCUUUGGAAACUGUAUAACUAGAGUGCAGGAGAGGUAAGCGGAAUUCCUAGUGUAGCGGUGAAAUGCGUAGAUAUUAGGAGGAACACCAGUGGCGAAGGCGGCUUACUGGACUGUAACUGACGUUGAGGCUCGAAAGCGUGGGGAGCAAACAGGAUUAGAUACCCUGGUAGUCCACGCCGUAAACGAUGAUUACUAGGUGUGGGGGGAUUGAACCCUUCCGUGCCGCAGUUAACACAAUAAGUAAUCCACCUGGGGAGUACGACCGCAAGGUUGAAACUCAAAGGAAUUGACGGGGGCCCGCACAAGCAGUGGAGUAUGUGGAUUAAUUCGAAGCAACGCGAAGAACCUUACCAGGUCUUGACAUCGUACGCAUAGCAUAGAGAUAUGUGAAAUCCCUUCGGGGACGUAUAGACAGGUGGUGCAUGGUUGUCGUCAGCUCGUGUCGUGAGAUGUUGGGUUAAGUCCCGCAACGAGCGCAACCCUUACUGUUAGUUGCUACGCAAGAGCACUCUAGCAGGACUGCCGUUGACAAAACGGAGGAAGGUGGGGAUGACGUCAAAUCAUCAUGCCCCUUAUGACCUGGGCCUCACACGUACUACAAUGGCUAUUAACAGAGGGAAGCAAAGCGGUGACGCAGAGCAAAUCCCUAAAAAUAGUCUUAGUUCGGAUUGUAGGCUGCAACUCGCCUACAUGAAGUCGGAAUUGCUAGUAAUCGCAGAUCAGCAUGCUGCGGUGAAUACGUUCCCGGGCCUUGCACUCACCGCCCGUCA